rnacentral:rRNA from 1 species
GCAAGGUUAAGCACUUAAGGUGCGGAGCCGUAGCGAAAGCGAGUUUUAACUGAGCGUUCAGUUACUUGACGUAGACCCGAAACCGGGCGACCUACCCAUGAGCAGGAUGAAGCGAAAGUAAAAUUUCGUGGAGGUCCGAACCCACGAGCGUUGAAAAGCUCGGGGAUGACUUGUGGGUAGCGGUGAAAUUCCAAUCGAGCCCGGAGAUAGCUGGUUCUCCCCGAAAUAGCUUUAGGGCUAGCCUCAAGGUGAGAGAUACGGAGGUAGAGCACUGAAUGUCCUAGGGGGUAUUGCACCUACCGAAGACUAUCAAACUCCGAAUGCCGUCAUCUUAUACUUGGGAGUCAGACUGUGGGUGAUAAGAUUCAUAGUCGAAAGGGCAACAGCCCAGAUCGUCAGCUAAGGUCCCUAAAUGUAAGUUAAGUGGUAAAGGAUGUGGGAUUGCACAGACAACCAGGAUGUUGGCUUAGAAGCAGCCACUCAUUCAAAGAGUGCGUAAUAGCUCACUGGUCGAGUGAUCCUGCGCCGAAGAUUUCCGGGGCUAAAACUUACUACCGAAGCUACGGCAUCAGUAAUGAUGGGUAGGGGAGCUUCCCAUACGGGUUGAAGCAUGACCGUAAGGACAUGUGGACAGUAUGGGAGUGAGAAUGUUGGCAUGAGUAGCGAGAU